rnacentral:rRNA from 1 species
GACGAACGCUGGCGGCGUGCCUAAUACAUGCAAGUCGAACGGACAGGCCCUGCUUUUGCUGGGUGCUCGAGUGGCGAACAGGUGAGUAACACGUGAGUAACCUGCCCUUGACUUUCGGAUAACUUCAGGAAACUGGGGCUAAUACCGGAUAGGAGCUCCUGCUGCUUGGUGGGGGAUGGAAAGUUUCGGCGGUUGGGGAUGGAAGCGCGGCUUAUCAGCUUGUUGGUGAGGUAGUUGCUUACCAAGGUUUUGACGGGUAGCCGGCCUGAGAGGGUGACCGGGCACAAUAGUACUAAGGUACGGCCCAGACUGCAACGGGAGGCAGCGGUGGAAAACAUUGCGCAAUAGGCCGAAGCCUGAGACAACGGCGCCGGGUGCGUGAUAACGGCUUUCGGGGUAUAAACAGCUUUGGACUGUAACGAACAGUGAGUGACGGUAAUGGAUCAGAAAGCACCGGCUAACUACGUG